UGCGGGGUGAGAUCUGGCCGCGCUCGCUCCGUGUGGGAGACGUGCGCUGCGUUACUCAUCACCAUUUGGGAUGGGAUGUUGUAAGGUGUCUGCAGGCACGCAGGAACUUACAUGUCCUAAUUUCCCUUGCGUCACAGCAGGGUGUCCGUGCUCCCAUGGAACUGAGGCUGCAAGCUCCAGCAAAUGCCACAUUUGCCUCAAAUCUGGGUUACUGCUCGUCUCUAAUCUGCAGCAUGGAUGGUGUCUCACCACGCUAACUUGGAAGCUUCCCUCCUAACACCUUACCAAAGGCUGAAGGAGAUGUGAUACCUCAGAACAGCUGGCUCUGCCCAAGGAUUUGGCAUCCACUGCUCCUCUUGAAGCCCAGGAGACCCGAGAGAAGUGCUGGAGGUACAACACAGCUGGAAGCUCGGCUCGCAGGCAGACACAAAAGUGGAACAGGAAAGCAGGAGAAAAGAAACGCUCCUUUGUCUCGUGGUUGAACUGGUUGCCCUUGCUGGGAUACAAGCAGUUCAUCUGGGCAGAGAAACCCACUGGCCCACUUGGCAUCCUGCGGCUCUUGGCACACGUUAAACAGGUCGGUAGGUGGUCUGGCACAGAGCUCUGGACGUGCUUUCUCACAAGGGUUCUUGCUUCGCAGGGGGAAAAACAGUUCAACGGAAAGAUCUUUUCUGCAGGGUUCAUCAAUGGCUUCAUGGCAGUCAGGGAAUGGUGUUCAGUGUGUUGCUGAACGCUAAAAAUGCUUUGAUUCUCCGAGGUGCUACAGUUCAUUUUGUUGGUACAGUCUUAUUUGGAAAUAAGGAAAUUUGUUCUGUCCCAGUGCUUUAUGCAGCAGUUUUGGUAGAGGAACUGUGGAUAUAGAGAUCGUGACAUUACUGGAUGAAAUAAUCCUGCUGGAGAUGUUAGGAAGGCUGACCAAGAGUCACUGUGCUCCUCUCUGCCUGGAUAUCUGUUUUGGCUCUGAGGACUGUGAAGCAUCUCGUUUGCUCACCCCAAAUCUUUGAAGGAGCUGAUUAUGCUGACAGUUAGUCUUACUAAUUGUUAUUAUAUCAUUGCUGCAGGAAUAGAUUAAUUCUUAUGUAAAGUAUGCCUGAUUUACACUCAGCUCUUAGAAGAACUUUUCGUUUCAAGUAGGGAUGUAGGUAGGAAAUAAGAGGAAGCCAGUAGAAAAUUCAGGAUGUGCUGGACAAAUUUGAGACGUAUUUUCUAUCAGUCUGAUGCUGUUUCUCAGCCCUUCUUUUUUGCACGGUUUGUUCUUGUAACAGCUGACCAUUACCUGAAAGGUAACAAUUUUCCUCUAUGAUCUUUCACUUAUGGGCACUGAGGGGACAUUGGGCCAUGACUGAGGCAGUGGCCAUGAUACGUUAUUGAAGCUGAUAGUUACAGCCUCAGCAGUGUCAUCAGCUGGAUCAGCAAAACUGACCCUACAAGGAAGAUGUGAAGUUUUAUGUCUUUCACUGGAGUUUAAUCUGUCAUAAUCUUACUCUUAUUUCUUCUCAGCGGUUUGAACUGCGACUUUUACUUGUAGUAAAGAUGGAUUAUCUGUG
rnacentral:lncRNA from 1 species